GUCUACAGUCAUGCUACCCUGAACAAGUCCGAUCCCAUCUGAUCUUGGAAGCUAAGCAGGGUCGGCCCUGGUUAGUACUUGGAUGGGAGACCACCUAGGAAGACCAGGUGCUGUAGGUG
rfam:Pteropus alecto contig96379, whole genome shotgun sequence.